UAAGAUUGAUGAGGCCAGCUGUAAAGUCUGACUCUGGUUCUGCUGCAACUGUGACAAGGGUGCAAACUUAAUGCCAUUGAAGUACACUGGGAUCAAAUUUCCAAGCACCAAACAAUCCUGGUCUAACACAAGUAUGAACCUCAAGGAAUGUGAGAUGUUGUGUGUGAAGAAGUGCUCCUGCACAGCUAAUGCAAAUUCCAAUAUCAGGGAAGGUGGAUGUGGGUGCUUGCUGUGGUUCAGUAAUCUGAUUGGCAUAAGAAAUCUCACUGAAAAUGAGCAAGAUAUCUAUGUUAGCUGUAUCAGAGCAAGGAAAACUGAGCCGCGGCCACAAGGAAAAUCUGGAAUUACGUGACUUGACUACUGUUGUUAAUGAAACCUGUAACUUCUCAAACGACAACAAACUAGGAGAAGGUGGCUUUGGAUCUGUCUUUAAGGUGUAUGUUGAAAGAUGGAUGAGAAAUAGCAGUG